rnacentral:lncRNA from 1 species
AACACAUUCAUGUGCCUCAGCAUGGGGGCAGCUGCACUGUUGCCUGCCAGCCUGUCCUCUUUGACUGCCGAAUGAACCAAAGGAUAACUCUCCAUUCGUGAGAGAGAGUGAGCUACAGAGGAAGAAAGACCACGCAAAAGGGAGGGGGAGAGAGGGGGGCGAAGAGGAUGUUCUCCGGCUCACUCCUACAUUAGGUCUCUGUGCAAAGGCAGAGGCUGUGGGAGCAGCAUCAAGCAAGACUUCGGGCAGUGAUUCUAACUAUUGCCUAUGAACACCGUGGCUGGGACGACUUUGACGAGGCAAUUUAUUACUUACGCAUAGAACACUGGCUGUGCUGAAACUGGGAGCGCAAACAGCCCCUUGUUUUCUAAUUUAGAGACUUGCAUCUUUUCGACACUCAACAGUAUCAAGACACUCUGCUACUACAGAUUGAUUUCCACCAUCAACACCUUUACCUCUUCCCGCCUGAAAAUAAAAUAUGAAAUAUAACAAGUAAAUCGCAAUCUACCUUGCACAGAAUCUUCUGGAGAGGAAAGAAGAAACCAUGUCUAGACAAGGUGCUGGAAAGACCCAGGGAAGACACAGAUGGGAUCAUCCAGUUGCUGGAAAACAAACUCAGGUCUCCCACUGGUUCUACAUUAUGGGAAAUCAUCUUUCGGGAAUUUAUCUAAGAAGAACUUCUUAUGAUGAAGUCUCACUCUGUCACCCAGGCUGGAGUGCAGUGGCGCCAU